CUCAUUUCCUAUAAAACGGCUGAACAAUAAUUCUGUUCACACAUUAAACGCUAACAAUGAAAUACUUAGCUAUCUUUUUAGUCCUGUCUUUGUUUGCCAUGGCUUUUGGCAUGGAUGUAGAUCUUGCUAAAAAGAUUCCAAGUGCUUUACCUCGAGGAACGUGUUCCCAUUCAUCUGACUGCAUGAGCCCUUGCAGUCGAAUGUGCCAGGCGUCUGGAUAUGCCCUGUGUUAUAAUGGGGACUGCUACUGUGGAUGAAUAGAAUGUGAUUAAUAAAUCAUUUUGUUG